GGCGAACGGGUGAGUAACGUAUCGGAACGUACCUUUCAGUGGGGGAUAACGUAGCGAAAGUUACGCUAAUACCGCAUAUUCUGUGAGCAGGAAAGCAGGGGAUCGCAAGACCUUGCGCUGAUUGAGCGGCCGAUAUCAGAUUAGCUAGUUGGUGAGGUAAAGGCUCACCAAGGCGACGAUCUGUAGCGGGUCUGAGAGGAUGAUCCGCCACACUGGAACUGAGACACGGUCCAGACUCCUACGGGAGGCAGCAGUGGGGAAUUUUGGACAAUGGGGGCAACCCUGAUCCAGCCAUGCCGCGUGAGUGAAGAAGGCCUUCGGGUUGUAAAGCUCUUUCAGCCGGGAAGAAAUCACAUGGGUUAAUACCCUGUGUGGAUGACGGUACCGGAAUAAGAAGCACCGGCUAACUACGUGCCAGCAGCCGCGGUAAUACGUAGGGUGCGAGCGUUAAUCGGAAUUACUGGGCGUAAAGCGUGCGCAGGCGGUUUGUUAAGAUAGGCGUGAAAUCCCCGGGCUCAACCUGGGAACUGCGUUUAUGACUGGCAGGCUAGAGUAUGGCAGAGGGGGGUGGAAUUCCACGUGUAGCAGUGAAAUGCGUAGAGAUGUGGAGGAACACCGAUGGCGAAGGCAGCCCCCUGGGCCAAUACUGACGCUCAUGCACGAAAGCGUGGGUAGCAAACAGGAUUAGAUACCCUGGUAGUCCACGCCCUAAACGAUGUCAACUAGGUGUUGGGUGGGUAAAACCAUUUAGUACCGGAGCUAACGCGUGAAGUUGACCGCCUGGGGAGUACGGCCGCAAGGUUAAAACUCAAAGGAAUUGACGGGGACCCGCACAAGCGGUGGAUGAUGUGGAUUAAUUCGAUGCAACGCGAAAAACCUUACCUACCCUUGACAUGUCCAGAAGCUCUUAGAGAUUUGAGUGUGCCGGAAAGGGAGCUGGAACACAGUGCUGCAUGCUGUCGUCAGCUCGUGUCGUGAGAUGUUGGGUUAAGUCCCGCCACGAGGCGCACCCCUUUGUCGGUUAAAUUGGCA
rnacentral:rRNA from 1 species